rnacentral:rRNA from 1 species
CCUACGGGGGGCUGCAGUGGGGAAUAUUGGACAAUGGGGGGAACCCUGAUCCAGCCAUGCCGCGUGUGUGAAGAAGGCCCUCGGGUUGUAAAGCACUUUCAGUGAGGAAGAACGCCUGGUGGUUAAUACCCAUCAGGAAAGACAUCACUCACAGAAGAAGCACCGGCUAACUCCGUGCCAGCAGCCGCGGUAAUACGGAGGGUGCGAGCGUUAAUCGGAAUUACUGGGCGUAAAGCGCGCGUAGGUGGCUUGAUAAGCCGGUUGUGAAAGCCCCGGGCUCAACCUGGGAACGGCAUCCGGAACUGUCCAGCUAGAGUGCAGGAGAGGAAGGUAGAAUUCCCGGUGUAGCGGUGAAAUGCGUAGAGAUCGGGAGGAAUACCAGUGGCGAAGGCGGCCUUCUGGACUGACACUGACACUGAGGUGCGAAAGCGUGGGUAGCAAACAGGAUUAGAUACCCUAGUAGUC